rnacentral:rRNA from 1 species
UGGAUAAGCUUGGGAAACUGGGUCUAAUACCGGAUAGGAGCCAUCUUUAGUGUGGUGGUUGGAAAGUUUUUUCGGUGUAGGAUGAGCUCGCGGCCUAUCAGCUUGUUGGUGGGGUAAUGGCCUACCAAGGCGGCGACGGGUAGCCGGCCUGAGAGGGUGUACGGCCACAUUGGGACUGAGAUACGGCCCAG